ensembl:snoRNA
GUCCAAGGUGAGUCCCUCUCCAAAGGGCCAACCAAAGCCCUUCUCAGGAGUGUAGCAACUUGGAAGAAAGCCUGGCAUGUGUAAGGUCUUUGGGGAACAAGGGAUGCAUACUUCCGUUGCUUCACUUUGGCUGCCUACAUGC